ACGGGUGAGUAAUGCCUAGGAAUCUGCCUGGUAGUGGGGGAUAACGUUCGGAAACGAACGCUAAUACCGCAUACGUCCUACGGGAGAAAGCAGGGGACCUUCGGGCCUUGCGCUAUCAGAUGAGCCUAGGUCGGAUUAGCUAGUUGGUGAGGUAAUGGCUCACCAAGGCGACGAUCCGUAACUGGUCUGAGAGGAUGAUCAGUCACACUGGAACUGAGACACGGUCCAGACUCCUACGGGAGGCAGCAGUGGGGAAUAUUGGACAAUGGGCGAAAGCCUGAUCCAGCCAUGCCGCGUGUGUGAAGAAGGUCUUCGGAUUGUAAAGCACUUUAAGUUGGGAGGAAGGGCAGUUACCUAAUACGUGAUUGUUUUGACGUUACCGACAGAAUAAGCACCGGCUAACUCUGUGCCAGCAGCCGCGGUAAUACAGAGGGUGCAAGCGUUAAUCGGAAUUACUGGGCGUAAAGCGCGCGUAGGUGGUUUGUUAAGUUGGAUGUGAAAUCCCCGGGCUCAACCUGGGAACUGCAUUCAAAACUGACUGACUAGAGUAUGGUAGAGGGUGGUGGAAUUUCCUGUGUAGCGGUGA
rnacentral:rRNA from 1 species